rnacentral:rRNA from 1 species
GACAGAGGGUGCAAACGUUGUUCGGAAUUAUUGGGCGUAAAGAGCUCGUAGGCGGUCUGUCGCGUCUGCUGUGAAAACUCGGGGCUUAACCCCGGGCCUGCAGUGGGUACGGGCAGACUAGAGUGCGGUAGGGGAGACUGGAAUUCCUGGUGUAGCGGUGAAAUGCGCAGAUAUCAGGAGGAACACCGGUGGCGAAGGCGGGUCUCUGGGCCGUAACUGACGCUGAGGAGCGAAAGCAUGGGGAGCGAACAGG